rnacentral:rRNA from 1 species
GUGAAUCAUCGAAUCUUUGAACGCACCUUGCGCUCCUUGGUAUUCCGAGGAGCAUGCCUGUUUGAGUGUCAUGAAAUCUUCAACCUAUAAGCUUUUGUGGUUUGUAGGCUUGGACUUGGAGGCUUGUCGGCCUUGAUCGAUCGGCUCCUCUUAAAUGCAUUAGCUUGAUUCCUUGCGGAUCGGCUCUCGGUCGUGAUAAUAUCUACGCGCGACCGUGAAGCGUUUGGCCGAGCUUCUAACCGUCUUCACUUGAGAGACAACUUUAUGACCUCUGACCUUCAAAUCAGGUAGGACUACCCGCUGAACUUAAGCAUAUCAAUAAGCGGAGG